rnacentral:rRNA from 1 species
GUGGGGAAUAUUGGACAAUGGGCGAAAGCCUGAUCCAGCCAUGCCGCGUGUGUGAAGAAGGUCUUCGGAUUGUAAAGCACUUUAAGUUGGGAGGAAGGGCAGUAAGUUAAUACCUUGCUGUUUUGACGUUACCGACAGAAUAAGCACCAGCUAACUUCGUGCCAGCAGCCGCGGUAAUACGAAGGGUGCAUGCGUUAAUCGGAAUUACUGGGCGUAAAGCGCGCGUAGGUGGUUUUGUAAGUUGGAGGUGAAAUCCCCGGGCUCAACCUGGGAACUGCCUCCAAAACUGCAUGACUAGAGUACGGUAGAGGGUAGUGGAAUUUCCUGUGUAGCGGUGAAAUACGUAGAUAUAGGAAGGAACACCAGUGGCGAAGGCGACUACCUGGACUGAUACUGACACUGAGGUGCGAAAGCGUGGGGAGCAAACAGGAUUAGAUACCCCAGUAGUCC